rnacentral:rRNA from 1 species
UACAGAGGUCCCAAGCGUUGUUCGGAUUCACUGGGCGUAAAGGGUGCGUAGGUGGUGGGGUAAGUCUGAUGUGAAAUCUCCGAGCUCAACUCGGAAAUGGCAUUGGAAACUACUCUGCUCGAGGGUUGGAGGGGGGACUGGAAUACUUGGUGUAGCAGUGAAAUGCGUAGAUAUCAAGUGGAACACCAGUGGCGAAGGCGAGUCCCUGGACAACUCCUGACACUGAGGCACGAAAGCUAGGGGAGCAAACAGG